rnacentral:rRNA from 1 species
UUGCGGUUAAAACGCUCGUAGCUGGAUUCUGCUAAGAGUUCCGGUCCUUCCCAGUGAAGAUACGCGGAACUCUUCUUGGCAUUUAUUCAGGGAAGGUGUUUGCACUUUGUUGUGUGUCACGUGAUCUGAAUUUUUACUCUGAGGAAAUGAGAGUGUUUCAAGCAGGCUUUCGCCGUGAAUAUGAUAGCAUGGAAUAAUAGCACAGGACCCCUUUCCAAAGCUGUUGGUUUUUGGAACGAGGUAAUUAAAAUAAGGAUAGUUGGGGGUAUUCGUAUUUAACUGUCAGAGGUGAAAUUCUUGGAUUUUUUAAAGACGAACUAUUGCGAAGGCAUCUGCCCAGGAUGUUUUUAUUGAUCCAAGAACGAAAGUUUAGGGGAUCGAAGACGAU